CAGCCGCCGCGGUAAUACGUAGGGUGCAAGCGUUAAUCGGAAUUACUGGGCGUAAAGCGUGCGCAGGCGGUUCGUUAAGACAGAUGUGAAAUCCCCGGGCUUAACCUGUGAACUGCAUUUGUGACUGGCGGGCUAGAGUAUGGCAGAGGGGGGUAGAAUUCCACGUGUAGCAGUGAAAUGCGUAGAGAUGUGGAGGAAUACCGAUGGCGAAGGCAGCCCCCUGGGCCAAUACUGACGCUCAUGCACGAAAGCGUGGGGAGCAAACAGGAUUAGAUACCCCUGUAGUCCCUGUCUCUUAUAC
rnacentral:rRNA from 1 species